CGCAGCACGAGCACCAGGUUGGGGGUCAGUGGUCCUUGCCGCGUGUUUUCUCUUCCCAGUGAUGCCCAGGAUGCUAGCGAGCGAGCGGCUACAGAUACGACUCGUUUCAUGUGGAGCAGCAAUGGAAGCUACUCUAACAACCACGGGGACCAAGAUCAACGUCCGUGGCCAUAUUUGGGCGAACUCUUUUCUUUUGUCGGAGUGAAAGUUUCUUCCUCCCGGAUGAAGUGCCUCUUAUGCCGACCGAAAGCUACGGAGAUAUUGGCCUUCAACAACUCACCAACCUCAGGAAACACAUUGAGAGAUACAAGUACAUAUUCACAAAUCAACUCUGGAUGCACGGACAGCGCAUGAAACUAAAUGAAUGGACUACAUCAAGCAGCACAUGGAAGAACCCUCCCUGCAGCUAGGUGAUGCCACCAGGUCCAGUUCAUCUGAUGAAGAGGACUUCUUCAUCUCAAGCGCAUGACAGCAGCAAACAGCUGGAUGGAGACGUGGAUCACGUUGACUUGAUGAAAUGCUUCCCAACUGUGUGCUGCUGUCUGUGAAGCUAGACACACUCUACCUGCACCAGGGCCUGUGAAGCUAGACACACUCUACCUG